rnacentral:tRNA from 1 species
GCCCCGGUAGCUCAAUUGGAUAGAGCUUCUGGCUUCGAACCAGAAGGUUGCAGGUUCAAUUCCUGCUCGGGGCA